CCAGGGGAGGGAGGAAGGCUGAGGUAGCCCCAGCAAGGAUUCUGGGAAAGGAAUAGAUGUGGGGUCACUGCCUCCUGCCUUUCAGGGCGUGAGGGAGGGUGCAAGCUCAGGGCAGCCACAGUCUCCCGGGAGUACUUUCAGACCUGGGGCUGAGUCCAAUGCCCUGUGCUGAAGGACAACGGAGAAUACCCAGGAUCACCCACCCUGCAUGUCCAGAGGAUCCAGUGUGUUGGGUGUAAUGGUACCCCAGGCCAGAAAGGCCUAGCAAGCCCACUCUUUCAAGACAGGAUGCCGUUUCUUGUCUUCUCAACUCUGGGUUGUCUCUAACAUAUCCCAUCAACCCACUCUGAGAAGACCAGUGUGACACUCCUUCCUCAUGAGACCACAGCCUGGAGGGGACCGACCGCCAAGAGGAGCAGCUCCAGUCAAGGGCUGAUAUCAAAUCCAGCAUCUUCAGGAUUCCGAUGGAGACUGAAGACCAGCAGCUCUCCAGGACCCUCCAGGAAUCCAGCACCAGACUGGGAUGGCAGAGACAGACAGCCUUGUGGUCUCUGCUCCAGUCCCUGGCUCCAGGUUCCUGCUUCAGUUCCUGCCCCGACUUCUCUGCAUGAUGAACUAUAAACUGUAAGACAGAAUAAACCCUUUCCUCCCCAACAUGCUUUUGAUGAUGGUGUGUUUGUCUUAGUCAGGGCUACUAUU